GUCUUUGAUAUCCCUGCGUCGUAAAGUAACUUACGAAGGCGACGGAACUUUAGAUAUGAGAGGGAGCGAUGAACCAAUAUACUCGUUUUGACCUUAAACUGGGAGUGAAAACUGGACCUCAAGUAUCACUUGCCUCUCAGAGCAAGUUAGCUGUCGUCUGGUGGUGUUUGGAUGGAAAAAUGACACCAGCAGCUGCAGAAUGCGAAUGGAGACAGGAUGGAGAGCAUUAGGACAUCCAGCCAGUUAAAAUGUCAUCAGGGACAUCAAGCACAAGACCAAAGUCUGUUACAAUCUGUGUGGAUUAACCAGGACAUAAGCAAACGUGGAAUAUCGUUUGUGUUCAAACGGCUUGGAUCUCAGUGGACCCUGAUCGACUUCCUUUGGUGCCAAUGGUAAGUAUUUUUUUAUUGUCACAGGGCUGCAUCAUUUUUGGCAUUUCGUAGAGUUGAGCUUGGGAUAAACUUAUAAGAAUGUACCUUUUUUUUCGGGGGUGGGGAGAGGUCAGGAAUAAAAGCGAUAAAAGCACGGUGUUAGCGGUGCGAGUUUAAUUUACGGCGGCUGAGGUCCUUCGGAACUCUACAGCAAACUCGCCCUCAACGGCUAUGGGUUACAGAAGAAUGAAACAAUCGACUUAUCAGGCUCACACAAAAGUAAAUGCCCGGAUGAACAACACAGUUUGUCUUUUAACGAUUGUCAGACAACUCGCCCCCUGGACAAUUAGCCCCAAACAACUCGCCCCCGAUCUUCAGACAACUGGCACCCAAUAUGAAAACACUUAUGUUACGUUGGACAAAUAUAUUUUUAUGCUCGUAAAGUAAUAAUUUCUUGAAAGAAGAGGAAAGUUUGUUUUUUAAAGUACAUUACGAGACGAGACUUUGCGUUUGUAGCGAUCGAUUCUAACGAUCGCGUAAACAGAUGAAAGUGACCAUUUUGUCAUCCAGCCACAGCAUUUGAAGUAAUUGUAAUGAAACAGGUUUUACUGUUUUUGUUUUAUGUUUUGGAGUAUUCCGCUGUGAAAGAACAAACACCAGACGCAAAUAGCAAACAACUUUGAUCGCAGAUAUAAUCAUAGUCGCCAUAUUGAAUCUGCAAUAUUGAGCCCAGAGAAUAUCAACCCAGGCCUGUCGAAUAGACACAGUACAGCUUACCUCUCAGAAAACAUGCACGCGCGCUAUCAUUAGUUAAGUCCUCUUAAAGUGCGCAAGUGUCAUGAAUACUUUGACAAAAUUAAAGUGAAUGAAUAAGACAAGGCAAGACAUUCAUUUGAUUGAUCAUUGAUCACCAACCGAGAAUCAUCUCAGAACUACAACACGCGAACAACUAGAAUGGCUUCCGUAAGCCACAUCUCUCUAGAUGUCAAACUUGUGCAGCGCUUCCUGGCGAGGAUGGUAUCCCAAACUUUCGUUCCUAUGAAAUUUUGCGGACCCCAAAUAAGCGGCCGUAGGCUGCUAUGAACAAAAUAGCGCUCGAAUUUGUCGUUCCAUAUCCAAGCAACGAUGUAUUGGGCUUUUCUGAAUGUUCGUCUAAUGAACCCCAUCUUGUUUAGAGGUAUCGUAGCAGAUUUUGGACGCUUCUAGGUUACAUUCUUCUCUUUAUACUCAAUAGGUCCUAUGGUAUCGGGUCAAAGAAUACAUAACAACUUUCAAUAGCUAUAAAAGCCAAUGGAUCUUUGGUCUUUAAGUCUUUUCAGGUGUCUUUUAAGUGAACUGGUAUUAGACAAAGUCUCAAAUUGUUGGAAGGCGAAUUAUUUUUGUUUUAAGCAGGCCUCCUCAUCGCGUCCAUCGCAACCACAAUCUUGUUUCUCCUUUCCGUUAUUGCCCGGAUGAUGGACCAGUUUUGUUCGAGUGAUGAUUUUUUUCUUUCCACGAUGAUGGUUACAAAAACAUACUUAGCAUAAAUAAGAUACACCACUGUAUGUUACUAUUUUAUCCUGUGUUAUAAGUACCUUUUGUCUUUGUGAGUAAUAGCAUGUAUAUCCCUUUUUUCACUUUAGUGCACUCUUGCUAGUCUAAUACGCGGUUAGGAAUAUGCUUUUUCCAUUUUGUUUUCACAGGGUUGACACAGGAAGGAUGCAAAUAUGUCAAAUUUACUAGUCUCAACUAAUCAAAUGCUGGAAAAACUAUUAUAAGUUGUAAUUAAUGGUCAGUCAUGCAUAUGGUUUAAUGCACUUUCUUUAAGUUCUCAGUACUGGUGGGUCCUUUUGUAUGUUCCUUUUUACUGGACUUGGCCUUUUGGAUUAUUUUAGUUGCUUAGGGUUUGGUUUAAUGAGCGGGGCAUGGAGGGUUCUGAAUACAGCAAUACCACAAACAAAAGAGAGCAAACACUAUAUCUCUGCAAGAAAUAUUAUUAACACACCAACACUAUGAUAGAAGAAAUUCUCAGGAUAUACCUGGUCUGGUUUCACUUAUAUUUACGGUAUGAAAGUCUUUGGCUGGCCAAUAGUGCAUGUGGUAGAGGUUCAGAGGUCAAGUAUGAUAUAAACAAACAUGGCCAGGGGUCAGUCAGCUAAUGUUUAUUCAAGACUCACACAGAUGUACAUGAAUUGCUAUUUUGUUUGACAAUAAACCACAGGUUAUUGAAAUCUAGUUUAUUAUAGGGUUGAAGAAUGAAGUGCAACACUGGAAAUGGUUUAUUUCAUUGAACACCUUCAGUUUGAAAUUACAAUUUGAGCAUGUAUGCCGACGACCAUCAGAUGUA